rnacentral:rRNA from 1 species
ACUCCUACGGGAGGCAGCAGUCGGGAAUUUUGCGCAAUGGGCGAAAGCCUGACGCAGCAACGCCGCGUGAGGGAUGAAGGCCUUCGGGUUGUAAACCUCUUUUUUCAGGGAAGAUGAUGACGGUACCUGAUGAAUAAGUCACGGCUAACUACGUGCCAGCAGCCGCGGUAAUACGUAGGAGGCGAGCGUUAUCCGGAUUUACUGGGCG